GGAUCGUCAUAAAAUGCAGUCGACGGUCUCUUCGGAGAUAGUGGCGGACGGGUGAGUAACGCGUGAGAAUCUACCCUUAGGACGGGGACAACAGAAGGAAACUUCUGCUAAUCCCGGAUGAGCUGAAAAGUCAAAGAUUUAUCGCCUAGGGAUGAGCUCGCGUCUGAUUAGCUAGUUGGUGUGGUAAAAGCAUACCAAGGCAACGAUCAGUAGCUGGUCUGAGAGGAUGAUCAGCCACACUGGGACUGAGACACGGCCCAGACUCCUACGGGAGGCAGCAGUGGGGAAUUUUCCGCAAUGGGCGAAAGCCUGACGGAGCAAGACCGCGUGGGGGAGGAAAGCCUUUGGGUUGUAAACCCCUUUUCUCAGGGAAGAAGAAAGUGACGGUACCUGAGGAAUCAGCCUCGGCUAACUCCGUGCCAGCAGCCGCGGUAAUACGGAGGAGGCAAGCGUUAUCCGGAAUGAUUGGGCGUAAAGCGUCCGCAGGUGGCUCAACAAGUCUGCUGUUAAAUCCAGUAGCUUAACUACUGAGUGGCAGUGGAAACUGAGGAGCUAGAGUGCGGUAGGGGCAGAGGGAAUUCCUGGUGUAGCGGUGAAAUGCGUAGAGAUCAGGAAGAACACCGGUGGCGAAAGCGCUCUGCUGGGCCGCAACUGACACUCAGGGACGAAAGCUAGGGGAGCGAAUGGGAUUAGAUACCCCAGUAGUCAA
rnacentral:rRNA from 2 species